AAAAUUUAUUAUUGUCAUGUGUUCACUAUCAGAGCUUAUGAUCUUUGUCCUUCCUCCUUGCCUUUGUACAAGGCCAAAGGAAAGACACUGGCUAUUUUGACAACGUUAAAGGGAACUCCAGGAGUGUCACUGACAGCAUGACCUUUGUGACCAAAGCCAGUGACCAGAACCUCAUCAUUUUUCUCGCUGUGUGCUACAAUCUAUCCUCUGUUGGGGAGUUCACAUGAAUUCAACUUAAAGAAAACCCACUUAUUGGAAUAUUUGGAAAACAUGGAAAAGUGUAAAAAUGAAAAUAAAAAUUACCUAUAAUUGGAUAAAUCAGAGAUAAAUGCAGACAAC
rnacentral:lncRNA from 1 species